GUCAGACCGCAGCUCUCUUGGAACAAUUUACAAAUACCAGACAUGCCGGUGGAGUAAAUGAAGAAUUCCUUGGCAACUGUUUAGUUAAGGAUGUCACUUGCAGGAAAUAUAUUCAAAUCACUUGCAGGAAAUAUAUUCAAUGUUUUUAUUUGUUAGUAUCCAGGCUUCUUGCAUUGGGUGAGCUGCCUGACCUUUAGUGAGUUUUAUAAAC